rnacentral:rRNA from 1 species
GGACCCGCACAAGUAGUGGAGCAUGUGGUUUAAUUCGAAGAUACGCGCAGAACCUUACCAACACUUGACAUGUUCGUCGCGACUUUAAGAGAUUAAAGUUUUCGGUUCGGCCGGACGAAACACAGGUGCUGCAUGGCUGUCGUCAGCUCGUGUCGUGAGAUGUUGGUUAAGUCCCGCAACGAGCGCAACCCUCACUUUUAGUUGCCAUCAUUAAGUUGGGCACUCUGAAAAGAACUGCCAGUGAUAAGCUGGAGGAAGGUGGGGGAUGACGUCAAGUCCUCAUGGCCCUUACGGGUUGGGCUACACACGUGCUACAAUGGUGCCUACAGUGGGUUAAUCCCCAAAAGGCAUCU